UCCCUUUAGGUCUGUUUUAUAUGUUAUUAUCCACGAAAACCUGGAGAAGUCAUUUAAGCUUGCGAGUUUCAGUUUUCUCUUCUGUUGAACGGUUGAUGAGACAUGAGAUAAUACAUGGAAGAUACCUCAGAAGCUUCCCGGAACAUAGAAGGUACAUGCUUUCGCUACCCCAUUGCAUGAAGCAGUCUGUUGAAGGGGUUGGAUGAAAAUGACCUGUCAACACAUCUGAGUUCCUAAGCUGGACAUGAGGGAUUAACACUAGGGUAAAGAUUCACCUUGUGAAAAUUUGAACAUUCCAAAUGACAUCCUCUUGUGCCACUACAUUUUCUAAGCCACUGAUUUUCAUUCAAUAAAAGCUCACACCUGU